rnacentral:rRNA from 1 species
CCGCGUCUGAUUUAGCUAGUUGGUGGGGUAAAGGCCUACCAAGGCGACGAUCAGUAGCCGACCUGAGAGGGUGAUCGGCCACAUUGGGACUGAGACACGGCCCAAACUCCUACGGGAGGCAGCAGUGGGGAAUAUUGCACAAUGGGGGAAACCCUGAUGCAGCAACGCCGCGUGAGUGAAGAAGUAUUUCGAUAUGUAAAGCUCUAUCAGCAGGGAAGAAGAUGACGGUACCUGAGUAAGAAGCCCCGGCUAACUACGUGCCAGCAGCCGCGGUAAUACGUAGGGGGCAAGCGUUAUCCGGAUUUACUGGGUGUAAAGGGAGCGUAGACGGCAUAGCAAGUCCGAAGUGAAAGCCCAAGGCUCACCCAUGGGACUGUUUUGGAAACUGUUAAGCUAGAGUGCUGGAGAGGUAAGCGGAAUUCCUAGUGUAGCGUUGAAAU